rnacentral:rRNA from 1 species
UCCGCUUAUUGAUAUGCUUAAGUUCAGCGGGUAUCCCUACCUGAUCCGAGGUCAACCUGAGAAGGUGGGCCGCGAGGGCCCGGUUUGUCCGGCAGGCGAAGCCCAACUCAGAAGCGAAUAA